UAGUAGAACAUGAUAGAUUAAAUCAUUUAAUCUAAAUUGCAUGCAAGAGAUCUAAUCUAAAGUAUCAUGCUAGGAUCAAUAACAUGAUCAAAUAUGCAAUUAAAAUCUAAAAUUAAUGAUAACCCGCAUCGAUCACAUCGAUAUCCUGGAUCAGAUCUAACAAUUAGAUCUUGAUCUGAUGAGUUUAGAACUCAUUAUCUAUGUACGGAUCGAUGAACACUACUGUUGAUCACAUGGAUCUGUAGUUUUGCUCGAUGCCGUAUAGCCGCACAGGAUGUCCAAUCUCUACAGAAAGUCCACACGAAGCCC
rnacentral:lncRNA from 1 species